rnacentral:rRNA from 1 species
UGCAAGUCGAACGGUGAACACGGAGCUUGCUCUGUGGGAUCAGUGGCGAACGGGUGAGUAACACGUGAGCAACCUGCCCCUGACUCUGGGAUAAGCGCUGGAAACGGCGUCUAAUACUGGAUAUGUGACGUGACCGCAUGGUCUGCGUUUGGAAAGAUUUUUCGGUUGGGGAUGGGCUCGCGGCCUAUCAGCUUGUUGGUGAGGUAAUGGCUCACCAAGGCGUCGACGGGUAGCCGGCCUGAGAGGGUGACCGGCCACACUGGGACUGAGACACGGCCCAGACUCCUACGGGAGGCAGCAGUGGGGAAUAUUGCACAAUGGGCGAAAGCCUGAUGCAGCAACGCCGCGUGAGGGAUGACGGCCUUCGGGUUGUAAACCUCUUUUAGCAGGGAAGAAGCGAAAGUGACGGUACCUGCAGAAAAAGCGCCGGCUAACUACGUGCCAGCAGCCGCGGUAAUACGUAGGGCGCAAGCGUUAUCCGGAAUUAUUGGGCGUAAAGAGCUCGUAGGCGGUUUGUCGCGUCUGCUGUGAAAUCCCGAGGCUCAACCUCGGGCCUGCAGUGGGUACGGGCAGACUAGAGUGCGGUAGGGGAGAUUGGAAUUCCUGGU